GAUGAACGCUGGCGGCGUGCUUAAUACAUGCAAGUCGAACGGUGAAGCAGGAGCUUGCUCUUGUGGAUCAGUGGCGAACGGGUGAGUAACACGUGAGCAACCUGCCCCUGACUCUGGGAUAAGCGCUGGAAACGGCGUCUAAUACUGGAUAUGUGAUGUGACCGCAUGGUCUGCAUCUGGAAAGAAUUUCGGUUGGGGUUGGGCUCGCGGCCUAUCAGCUUGUUGGUGAGGUAAUGGCUCACCAAGGCGUCGACGGGUAGCCGGCCUGAGAGGGUGACCGGCCACACUGGGACUGAGACACGGCCCAGACUCCUACGGGAGGCAGCAGUGGGGAAUAUUGCACAAUGGGCGGAAGCCUGAUGCAGCAACGCCGCGUGAGGGAUGACGGCCUUCGGGUUGUAAACCUCUUUUAGCAGGGAAGAAGCGAAAGUGACGGUACCUGCAGAAAAAGCACCGGCUAACUACGUGCCAGCAGCCGCCGCGG
rnacentral:rRNA from 1 species